rnacentral:rRNA from 1 species
GAUGAACGCUGGCGGCGUGCCUAAUACAUGCAAGUCGAGCGAACAGACGAGGAGCUUGCUCCUCUGACGUUAGCGGCGGACGGGUGAGUAACACGUGGAUAACCUACCUAUAAGGCUGGGAUAACUUCGGGAAACCGGAGCUAAUACCGGAGAAUAUAUUGAACCGCAUGGUUCAAUAGUGAAAGACGGUUUUGCUGUCACUUAUAGAUGGAUCCGCGCCGCAUUAGCUAGUUGGUAAGGUAACGGCUUACCAAGGCAACGAUGCGUAGCCGACCUGAGAGGGUGAUCGGCCACACUGGAACUGAGACACGGUCCAGACUCCUACGGGAGGCAGCAGUAGGGAAUCUUCCGCAAUGGGCGAAAGCUUGACGGAGCAACGCCGCGUGAGUGAUGAAGGUCUUCGGAUCGUAAAACUCUGUUAUUAGGGAAGAACAAAUGUGUAAGUAACUAUGCACGUCUUGACGGUACCUAAUCAGAAAGCCACGGCUAACUACGUG